AUACGUAGGGGGCGAGCGUUGUCCGGAAUGAUUGGGCGUAAAGGGCGCGUAGGCGGCUUUGCAAGUCAGUAGUGGAAGCCCAUUUUUCAAGGAUGGAAGUGCUACAGAAACUGCGGAGCUUGAGGGCAGGAGAGGAUAUCGGAAUUCUCGGUGUAGCGGUGAAAUUAGUAGAGAUCGGGAGGAACACCAGUGGCGAAGGCGGAUAACUGGACUGAAACUGACGCUGAGGCGCGAAAGUGUGGGGAGCAAACAGGAUUAGAUACCCUGGUAGUCCACACUGUAAACGAUGCAUGCUAGGUGUAGGAGGUAUCGACCCCUUCUGUGCCGCAGUAAACACAGUAAGCAUUCCGCCUGGGGAGUACGGUCGCAAGAUUAAAACUCAAAUGAAUUGACGGGG
rnacentral:rRNA from 1 species